UACGUAGGGUGCAAGCGUUGUCCGGAAUUAUUGGGCGUAAAGAGCUCGUAGGCGGUCUGUCGCGUCUGCUGUGAAAAUCCGAGGCUCAACCUCGGACUUGCAGUGGGUACGGGCAGACUAGAGUGUGGUAGGGGAGACUGGAAUUCCUGGUGUAGCGGUGGAAUGCGCAGAUAUCAGGAGGAACACCGAUGGCGAAGGCAGGUCUCUGGGCCAUUACUGACACU
rnacentral:rRNA from 1 species